ACUUGCUGAUAUCAACAGAGUGCGUAAUCAACUGAUUGUGUCACAGAAACAACACAAUCGAUCAAUGAAUUCAUAAUCGGAGCAUUCUUAAGAUGUACACAGAAGCAAAUAGUUUUGAAGAUGGAGAAUUCAUCAAGUAACUGACUAAGCAAGCAAACAGACCACAAGACGCUCAUCAGCAUCUUGGCUUCCUCUAUAAACAGUCUCAGCAAAGGAAUCCCAUAAGGGACAGGUAACUUGAAUCAGAGAGAGGAUCACAUGGAAAUAUCUGAGUUUCAUUGGUGAAAGUCAUCUUGUAUAGAUGAUUGGUUGGACGGAAUUGGCCACUGGCAUAGUUGAGACUAAAGAUCUCAAUAAAACUCCAAUGACCAACAGAUAAAAUCAACUCUAGAGUUUCACCAGUAUUGGCGGUGUACUGACGCGAGGAAUGAAGCACCUUAACUUGGACUCUCCAUUGUGUCUUGUAAGGCCGGACAUCUUUUAGAUACAAGCAUAAACUUUUUGGAUCAUGGAAUUGCAAACGAAGCUCAAACCAAACUGAGGUAUCUCCCUAAUCUUGCUUGAUUUAUGCGUUUUUUACCAAAAACAAAAUUAAUUUUAUUGCUCUACUAUUGCGUGAUCAUAUAGUUACGAUCAUCAAUCAAUCGACCGUGCGGCCUUAUUAUCUUUGGUACGAUCUGUAUUCUUUUACGUGUUGCCUUUUUUUAUAACGCAUUGUUUUAUUGUUUUAAAUAUAUUUAUGUGAUAUGUAAACUUUAAAUCUGUUCAACAUGAUGUGUUCUAUAUUAUGGAGUCUAUGAAGAUUAUUCAUCGGCCGCGACGUGGUCCGGAUCGUAUGAAAAAGAGGGCACAAGUCGAUAUGGACUGGAAGAUAUGUUUCCGGACUUAUAAUUAUCAUUAUCGUGUUAUCGAUAUCUCGAUGUAUUUUUAGGUUUUGGUUAUGAUAUCUUUGUUUACUAUACUAAAUUCGUAUUAGUAAACGAAAUCUUUUCCGUAUUAAUGAAUGAAAUACUUUUGAAUA